GAAGCUUCUCGGUCUUUUGGCUGAGAUCAAGUACAGAAUCUGUUCUCAGCAGUUUAAUAUUUGACACAUCCUUUAUUUGAGGACUAUAUAUUAAAUGGAUUUUUGGAGUUCUCUAUAAGUUCUGCAAACAGUAUUCUUCUGUUACCUUACAACAUUUUUUCCUGUAAUAAAUGUUUGGUUAGAGUAGCA